UGUCAUGUAGAGUCGGCUGUUAUGCAGGGU
rnacentral:piRNA from 1 species